CAUGGGCUCAACCNNNGAAUUGCUUUCAAAACUGCUGGCCUUGAGUAGUGCAGAGGUAGGUGNAAUUCCCGGNNNNGCGGUGGAAUGCGUAGAUAUCGGGAGGAACACCAGUGGCGAAGGCGACCUACUGGGCACCAACUGACGCUGAGGCUCGAAAGCAUGGGUAGCAAACAGGAUUAGAUACCCUGGUAGUCCAUGCUGUAAACGAUGAUUACUAGGUGUUGGAGGAUUGACCCCUUCAGUGCCGCAGUUAACACAAUAAGUAAUCCACCUGGGGAGUACGACCGCAAGGUUGAAACUCAAAGGAAUUGACGGGGGCCCGCACAAGCAGUGGAGUAUGUGGUUUAAUUCGAAGCAACGCGAAGAACCUUACCAGGUCUUGACAUCCGAUGCAUAGCAUAGAGAUAUGUGAAGUCCUUCGGGACAUCGAGACAGGUGGUGCAUGGUUGUCGUCAGCUCGUGUCGUGAGAUGUUGGGUUAAGUCCCGCAACGAGCGCAACCCUUAUUGCCAGUUACUACGCAAGAGGACUCUGGCGAGACUGCCGUUGACAAAACGGAGGAAGGUGGGGAUGACGUCAAAUCAUCAUGCCCUUUAUGACCUGGGCUACACACGUACUACAAUGGCGUUUAACAAAGAGAAGCAAGACCGCGAGGUGGAGCAAAACUCAAAAACAACGUCUCAGUUCAGAUUGCAGGCUGCAACUCGCCUGCAUGAAGUCGGAAUUGCUAGUAAUCGCGGAUCAGCAUGCCGCGGUGAAUACGUUCCCGGGCCUUGUACACACCGCCCGUCACACCAUGAGAGCCGGGGGGACCCGAAGUCGGUAGUCUAACCGCAAGGAGGACGCCGCCGAAGGUAAAACUGGUGAUUGGGGUGAAGUCGUAACAAGGUAACC
rnacentral:rRNA from 1 species